AUUUAGAAAGCUUUUUAGAAGUAGUGAUUUUGUAAAUCAAAGAUUGAAAAAUAUUUCUCUAAAUA
rnacentral:tRNA from 1 species